ACCUCCCAUCUCCUCUCCGCUCUUUUCCUUCCUCUUGUUGCUACCGAGGUCCACGUCGACCGCUACAGGCGGCGACGCCAUCGGAGCAGAGCUGGGCAAGUUCCUGACCUAAGCGGCGGCGGCGCGGGUGGGGCGGGCUCGUUGUCGGGGACGCGCCGGUUGUUGGAGGGCGCUGGCCAUGCCCAUGGAUGGGUGCCGGCCGGGGCCGGAGGCACGCUGUUGUGCGCGGCGGCGCUGGCGAGGCUGGAGGCUGCGCCGAGGGCCAGGAUCGGGGACACUAACGCCAGCGUCGCCGACUUCAUUGACGCCGUCGCCGCUUGCUGGCGCUGAUGGCGUUCGUUAAGGGACACCGGACAGGCGGAUCCGCUGGCGUUCGUCGAGGUGAGCCUCCUGAAGGGUGGGUGGUGCGGUGGCGGCGGCGAGUAGUUGCGCGGCAGGCAGGAGGCGCUUGCUUUUCCGGCGCAGGCAUCCGUCGGGCAGGUCGUCCUCGCCGUCAACGAGGCGGGUGUUCGAUGAGGUUCACCCCGACGGCCCGACCCCGGCCGUGCCUACCUCUGCGCUGCCCGCCUACAGCUGGCUCCCCGCGCCGACUUGCCCUCGCUGGGACGCCAUGCUCCCUGCCUCGCUCUGAAUGCUCUGCCUAUCACCCUUAGGCCUCAGUCGCGCGCCUGGCCGGCACACACAGGGUGUUUGACGGAGUGCCCGUGCGGUACCUCGUCGCCUUGCCUCAUUGCCUGGAGCGUCAUCUUUGACGGGUUUGGUGUGUCUUCUGCUUGUUGCUUCCUGCGAUGGAGGCCAGCGCGAGGAAUCGGCCCGAGCAGCUCGCCUUCGUCUCCAUCUAACUCACCUCCGGCCGGUCGCCGUGGAUCAUGGUUUCACCUCCGCCUUUCCGCCGGCAUCUCCGACCACCUCAUCUUCUCCAUGGUGAGUCUAUGAUCCUCCUGGAAUCUUUCCCGCAUCUCCACGGGCUCUGUGGAGGACUGCCGCCGUUCACCGUCGUUCACCGUCGUUCUGAAACUCAGCAUUGCCCCGCGUCGUUGUGCUCAAGAUCCGCUGCCUAGAAAUAUCCCAACCCUGGUCCUUCGAUGUUCCCGACGCUCGCCGGCGUGCCUCGCCGCGUCUCGCGCCGGUGAGUCGCCGAUGUUUGCAUUGCUCGGUAAAUUAGCAUUACCAUCGUUUCAGAGUGCUGUACAUGGACGAUUCACCAUUCGGAGCCUCCCUUAUGUGCCAGAUAGUGACAACGAAAAUAGUGGCAUGGACCACUGGAGUUAUCAUUGCUGAGCACUUCUGAAAUUCUUGAGAUUCAGUUUGACCCCAUACAUUGAUUUGAUGGGACGCCAGGUUUCAGUUGCAAACGGAAACAAAAGUAGUAGUUUGCAGGGAUUGGACGCUUUUGCAGCUGAACAUAUGUCUUUGUAAUUUCGUUCAAUUUUGUCUAGGAGCAUUCUGAAGCUAGAUUGAGUGAAAAUCUACUUAAUGUGGAGAAUCGUAGCGUAUAUAGUUUACUCAUUGCUAAUGUUGUGUUCUGCUCAAUUCCUCCAUUAGGAAUCUGUCACCGUCAUUUAGAGUAGCAACUAAUGAUGUACUCAUUUUCUUUAUUACAUGUGCUACUUGCUCUAAUAUCUAGUCUUACAACGUGUUUUAUGGUUGCAUAGCUAGUGGAGGGCUGUUGAAAAUGUUGCACGUAGAAUUCAGAUGAUUACCUUUGUUGAGAGUCCAUCCUAAGAGUUUCCCUAUGCCCCAGCUAUGAGGUGUCGUUGAUCCAUACUUGGCUUAGACCAACAGCGUCAGUAUCAACCAUCUGAAGAUAAGCACAAGCUUGCGCUGAGUGAUGCAUCUUGGAUGGAAUCAAACUCGCCAUCCAAAAGUGUGCCUGAAACAGCAACACAGAUUUCAGAUAAUGUUGAUUCAUGUACAAGUGCUAUUGGCAGUGAUAACAAAAACAAGGCAUGCGUCGCAGGUUUCAGAAAAUUUGCGAGCCCAAGUUCCACCCACCAAAGAGAUUUCAUGCCUUACAUUAGGCGUGCAGCUGAAAGGUAGCUGCUGCAGCCUCAGGUCCUCUGGAUGAGCCUCCCUUGCAAAGCUGAAGCAGAAUGUCUCCUUGAUGUGCCGUCUAGUUUACUUUGCGAGGACUACGUGUGUUGGAUGUCGCGAAUUCCUGAAGCUGAGCAUGGUGCUGCAGACUCAGCUGCACUUGUUGGAGAGGGCCAGUACUGGUACUAUCCCGGCUUCACAUUUUUCUACUCAGCUAGACCAAGCUCGUAUACUCCGGCGCCAUUUUUGAUGUAUGCAUGAGAAAGCUGAUGUUUUAUCCAGAAGUCGUUGAUUUUCUCGAAGAGGACAAAGAUGAAUUCCCUUACGUAGAAGCCUGAUAUGCUUACGGAUCGCCACCAAAAGCUCAUAAUGCUUGACAAGUAGUCGUCGAACGAAUCUCUAAUGCGCUUAGAUGAAAUUCGACCACGUUUACAUCUUGCCAAAUGCAGCAAUAUGAUACUUUUACAAAGUGAAGACGAGAAUGCAUUUUGCUCUGUAGUACGUAGUAGCUACAAGCUAGCUUCCCAUUGAUUUUAUAUAGUUCUCUUCUUGAAUAAACUUUAUACAGCGACUGAACCUUGUACAGUGGGUGAACAGAAGAAGACUAUUGUUCUUCCCGUCUAGCGCAGUAUAAUAUUGUUCUGUAAUUCUCAUUUGCCACCAUCAAAGCCAAAACAUAGCCAAGUACAGAGCGUCCAUAGAUCUAGGGUUCAUAUUUAAGUUUCAGCAGGUCGUUGUCAUGGCACAAUUCAAAAUCUUCACAUUGUUGUUUAUUAUAGAAUUAUUCCACAUCCAAAAAUAACAGUGAUGCGGUGGUGAUUCAGCCCAACAAAAGACACACAGGGAAGAUUGUACUUAUUAGUCAUGUAUGUGCUAUCAAAAACAACAACGUCGCCAAAAGCCUCGUAGUCACGCCGGGAUUGACUAUCAGCCGAGAACAAUCCCUUCAAAUGACCCUC